GACGAACGCUGGCGGCGUGCCUAAUACAUGCAAGUUGAGCGCUGAAGGUUGGUACUUGUACCAACUGGAUGAGCAGCGAACGGGUGAGUAACGCGUGGGGAAUCUGCCUUUGAGCGGGGGACAACAUUUGGAAACGAAUGCUAAUACCGCAUAAAAACUUUAAACACAAGUUUUAAGUUUGAAAGAUGCAAUUGCAUCACUCAAAGAUGAUCCCGCGUUGUAUUAGCUAGUUGGUGAGGUAAAGGCUCACCAAGGCGAUGAUACAUAGCCGACCUGGGAGGGUGGUCGGCCACAUUGGGACUGAGACACGGCCCAAACUCCUACGGGAGGCAGCCGUAGGGAAUCUUCGGCAAUUGACGAAAGUCUGACCGAGCAACGCCGCGUGAGUGAAGAAGGUUUUCGGAUCGUAAAACUCUGUUGGUAGAGAAGAACGUUGGUGAGAGUGGAAAGCUCAUCAAGUGACGGUAACUACCCAGAAAGGGACGGCUAACUACGUG
rnacentral:rRNA from 1 species